rnacentral:rRNA from 1 species
UACGUAGGGGGCAAGCGUUGUCCGGAAUCAUUGGGCGUAAAGGGCUCGUAGGCGGUUUGUUGCGUCGGAAGUGAAAACUCAGGGCUUAACCCUGAGCCUGCUUCCGAUACGGGCAGGCUAGAGGUAUGCAGGGGAGAGCGGAAUUCCUGGUGUAGCGGUGAAAUGCGCAGAUAUCAGGAGGAACACCGAUGGCGAAGGCGGUUCGCUGGGCAGUACCUGACGCUGAGGAGCGAAAGUGUGGGGAGCGAACAGG